AUUGAACGCUGGCGGAAUGCUUUACACAUGCAAGUCGAACGGCAGCACGGACUUCGGUCUGGUGGCGAGUGGCGAACGGGUGAGUAAUGUAUCGGAACGUGCCCAGUCGUGGGGGAUAACGUAGUGAAAAUUACGCUAAUACCGCAUACGAUCUAUGGAUGAAAGCGGGGGAUCGCAAGACCUCGCGCGAUUGGAGCGGCCGAUAUCAGAUUAGGUAGUUGGUGGGGUAAAGGCCCACCAAGCCAACGAUCUGUAGCUGGUCUGGGAGGACGACCAGCCACACUGGAACUGAGACACAGUCCAGACACCUACGGGAGGCAGCAGUGGGGAAUUUUGGACAAUGGGCGAAAGCCUGAUCCAGCCAUUCCGCGUGCAGGAUGAAGGCCCUCGGGUUGUAAACUGCUUUUGUACAGAACGAAAAGGUUUCUACUAAUACUAGGAGCUCAUGACGGUACUGUAAGAAUAAGCACCGGCUAACUACGUGCCAGCAGCCGCGGUAA
rnacentral:rRNA from 1 species